rfam:Gossypium arboreum cultivar AKA8401 contig_3958_15, whole genome shotgun sequence.
AUCCAAUGACGAGGACACUUACGAAGUAAUUCCAUGAAUCUUUCCCAUGCCUUGUACAAGGACUCGUCUUCCAACUAUUAGAAAGUAGUUAUCUCAUAACGCAACUU